rnacentral:rRNA from 1 species
UACGUAGGUGACCAGCGUUGUCCGGAUUUACUGGGCGUAAAGAGCGCGCAGGCGGUCGUUCAAGUCGAGUGUGAAAGCCCCCGGCUCAACUGGGGAGGGUCAUUCGAUACUGAUCGACUUGAAGGCAGGAGAGGGAAGUGGAAUUCCCGGUGUAGUGGUGAAAUGCGUAGAUAUCGGGAGGAACACCAGUGGCGAAGGCGACUUCCUGGCCUGUUCUUGACGCUGAGGCGCGAUAGCUAGGGGAGCAAACGGG